AUACGGAGGGUGCAAGCGUUAAUCGGAAUUACUGGGCGUAAAGCGUGCGCAGGCGGUUUGUUAAGUCAGAUGUGAAAGCCCCGGGCUCAACCUGGGAACUGCAUUUGAAACUGGCAAACUAGAGUGUGGUAGAGGGAAGUGGAAUUCCUCAUGUAGCGGUGAAAUGCGUAGAUAUGAGGAGGAACACCAGUGGCGAAGGCGACUUCCUGGACCAACACUGACGCUCAUGUACGAAAGCGUGGGUAGCAAACAGGAUUAGAAACCCGGGUAGUCC
rnacentral:rRNA from 1 species